CCGGACAACUAUGGAAACAAUGAAAACUGCGUUGAAAUGGAUGUGUCUUCAGGCACGCCACCCAAAAACGUUUUCUUCAACGACGUACCUUGCUUGACUUAUUCAACUAAAUACAUUUGCGAAACUUAUGAGCCAGGAUGUUCAAUGCCGAGUUGUCCCAAUUUCACCUGCCAACCGGAAGCUGCUAAAGUCAACUUGUCAAAGAAUUGGAAAACAAGUGCUGAUGGAACUUUCAGACAAGCGUGUGGCAAACAAUAUUUCAUAAGCAAAGUUGGAAAAAGCAAAGUGGACGCGGAAACCGAGUGCUGCAAAUAUGGAUUGAAACUGCUCAGUAUUGACAGUUAC